rnacentral:rRNA from 1 species
UCAUGGAGAGUUUGAUCCUGGCUCAGGACGAACGCUGGCGGCGUGCCUAACACAUGCAAGUUGAGCGACGAACCAGGCUUCGGCCUGGGGCAAAGCAGCGAACGGGUGAGUAACACGUGGGUAACCUGCCCCAAUGAUCGGGACAACCCGGGGAAACCCGGGCUAAUACCGAAUGUGGUCACGAAUCGUGAGGUCUCGUGACGAAAGGAAGCUUCGGCCUCCGCAUUGGGAGGGGCCCGCGGCCCAUUAGCUCGUUGGUGGGGUAACGGCCUACCAAGGCUUCGAUGGGUAGCUGGUCUGAGAGGACGAUCAGCCACACUGGGACUGAGACACGGCCCAGACUCCUACGGGAGGCAGCAGUGGGGAAUCUUGC